AGCCAGAGGGGACCGUGUUUAAAGGCAUUCCUGAAAGAGAGUGAGAUACGUGCUCAGAACCAUGGAAUCCAGGCAUUUUCAGAAUCACGGGGUAAGUUUGGGAAGGAAGACGGAAUCUCGAUGUCCGUUUUAAUUAAAGACACCCACCUUGGGAAUCAAACUUUAUUUUCACUCUCUUACUCCCACAUUUACCUGUCUACAAGCUGGUGAUUCAUCCUCAGAAUAAAGGACAUUAAUUUAAAACAAAACAUAUAAUUAAAGGAAGUAGGAGUGUCCUUCGCCUCAGUAAAGAAGACCCAGCACUGCAGGGAAAAUGACACUGCCUCUUAGAAUAAUGUGAAGCAAUCCUGCGGUGUGGGAAAUAUGGUAACGUUAAGCCAGAGGAACAGGUAUUGCAUUAUACGAUUCAAACAGUCAACUGUUCAUAAUGUUCAAACCUCAGAACUUUGAAAAGGGGAAGAAUUCAGAAAUAUGUCAGUGGAUCACUGGAUCUUUCUUGUAUUUUUAUGUUUACAUUUCCUUUGCACAUUUCAAGAGGGUUUUGCUUUCCAUAACAAAAGUACCCCAGCAGGUUUUUGGGCUUCAAAUAUUUCUAGUUCUGUCUUUAUCUCCAAGUUAAUCUUUGGUGAAUGCAUCGGAGAUUAAAUUGGAGCUGGGCCUGGCCAGAGGUCUGGGUCUGGAGGUUGGAGCCCAUACCUUCAUAAAUACAAACAUCUGUGUUGGGUGCAAAUACUGACAAGUCUCAGUGAGCCAGGGCUUGUUCUCCUGGCUGUUUUCUCUGUUGCGCUGUGUCCUUAUCCUGAGUUCUGAUCUGGCGGUUGCAUCCAGCAGCUGCCCUAACUGGCCCUUGCAACUGAACUCUUGAAAUUCAGCCUCAUGUGCUUCCUACCUCCAAACAUCUCAGGAACCCAUAAGGAGAAGGUCUCCUGCCACGGCCACCUGCUGCAAUGGCUCUGGUGUUUCUUGGCAUGAUCCUGACAGGUCUCCAACGUCUUGCCACAGCCAUUGGCUGAACCAGGGCCCUGCAACCCAUCAGUUACAUUUCUUGGGCAUUUUUUUAAAGAUAUUCUCAGAGACCUGAAUUUGCCCUCUCCAAAUUUCUGCCCUAUUCUCUGCUGCUCAGCAUCCGAAAGCUGUGCUCCCACCCAGGCUGAUCUUCCCUAACAAAACAAAAUGUCUGCGCAAUUGUCAUGUGAAAUAGAUUAUAUCAGAGAUGGUGUGGCCCACACCUCCUUUUCCAGGCCAGUGCUGAGUAAUCCCAUAGUCACUGGGAUCACACGUCAGCUGGAGUGGUAAUUGAGGUUGGAUGCCCAGCUGGUCCCCUCCUUCCCUGCUCCCCCCUCACCUCCCUGCUCUGCUGGGAUCUCUUUAAACUUCCUCCAGCUCACCUCAAAUCCCAGCAUCCACUCUCAUGGAGCUCUCAGCUUCUCAUGGGAACCUUGUUGGCGAGACUAACCACUUAUCCAAAGCCCUAACAUUCAGCAAGCAGGUUUUGAGCUAACUCUGGUCUCUUUUAAAUUGUUUCUGCACUUGUCAUAACAAAUGCAUGGCCAGAAAUGGGGCUUUUGAAAUGGAAAGGGGCGUAGAGCAAAGCUUGCAGCACAGAGUUGGGUGGAGGUCUUGGCACACCGAGCUCCAUCCCUGUCAGUGCCACGGCUCGGCCUGGCCUGGCCUGGCCUGGCCUGAUGUACAGAGGCUGCAAACUGUCCUGGAAAGUCUUCUCCAUAGAGAGAUAGGAAAAGAGAUGUGGGUGUUCCUGGUGAAGGGAUCACCCGAUGAAAAACUCAGGAGCAGCAGCAAUUGGUUCCUUUACAGUUCUCCUGGCAGCAAAUUUCAGCAGAAAGGCAGCGUUUCUCUGAAAAGCGCCUUCUUUCUGGUGAUUUCAUGAUUUAAUUUUUCAGCUGGGGGAGGAGAUAGCAUUAUUCACAAAUUACUUAGUGAGAACAUCUACAUUCCCUAGGGAAAAAAAAAAAUCUGAUGCAAUAAAAUCCAGAUUCCUCUUUAUUCAUGUGUGAAAGAAGAUAGAUAGUGGAGGGGUAAGACAAGAAUGUGGGAAGGGGGAAAAAGUGGAGGGAAGAAUCUCAUCUUCACCACUCUUUUCUGUCAUGAAUUAAAUUCUGCUCUACAUUUUCCCUUUUACACUGUAGAAAGACACAGCUUUCCAGCUGCAGGCUCAGACCUAUGAUAAGACGUUGCAGAGACACAUUAUUCCUGAAAAUUGUCUUCUUUUCCAGGAUUUCCAGCAGGCUCUCCAAUUCCCACACUGCAGGUCUAUAGCAGCUGUCCUGGAAGGACACUAGCUUUAGGGAGAUGCUAUUAAUGUAAUGGUCACAGAUCAAACACUGAAGAUUUUGUAAGAAAAUCUGUGGGCUGAGGGUUUGUACUCUAGAAAAAGGCUGUCUAUAAUUUUAGAUGCCUCUUGCUGAAGACUCGUCUUGCAUGUUGUUUGCCUUGCAGUAUCUCCUGGCAGAUCAGUGAGAUCAGAGGUGCAUCAUGCUAAACGCUGUGUGGACACAGCCCCUCACUGCAGCCCAAUGCAAAGCAUGGAGAGGCAGAAGAGGGGCAAAGAUUAAAGAAGAUAAUGCCAGAAGUCAACAGUUGCAUCACUGAACAAGGUGCUGCUGGUAGUGUGCUGGAGUCCCAGGUCCCUCUUCAUACAGCCGUGCACCUUACACCAGCACCAACUCGUAAGUUGUACCUGGCAGAGGCUCGAUUCCGACCUGUUGCUUUCCACGUGCUGUUCUCCACUGCUAAAAAUAAAUAAAUAAUAAAAGACACAGUGUUCAUGAAAUGUCA